rnacentral:rRNA from 1 species
GACGAACGCUGGCGGCGUGCUUAACACAUGCAAGUCGAACGGAAAGGCCCUGCUUUUGUGGGGUGCUCGAGUGGCGAACGGGUGAGUAACACGUGAGUAACCUGCCCUUGACUUUGGGAUAACUUCAGGAAACUGGGGCUAAUACCGGAUAGGAGCUCCUGCUGCAUGGUGGGGGUUGGAAAGUUUCGGCGGUUGGGGAUGGACUCGCGGCUUAUCAGCUUGUUGGUGGGGUAGUGGCUUACCAAGGCUUUGACGGGUAGCCGGCCUGAGAGGGUGACCGGCCACAAUGGGACUGAGAUACGGCGCAGACGCCUACGGGAGGCAGCAGUGGGGAAUAUUGCACAAUGGGCGGAAGCCUGAGGCAGCAACGCCGCGUGCGGGAUGACGGCCUUCGGGGUGUAAACCGCUUUCGCCUGUGACGAAGCGGGAGUGACGGUAAUGGGUAAAGAAGCACCGGCUAACUACGUG